GCUGGCGGCGUGCCUAAUACAUGCAAGUCGAGCGAAUCGAUGGGAGCUUGCUCCCUGAGAUUAGCGGCGGACGGGUGAGUAACACGUGGGCAACCUGCCUAUAAGACUGGGAUAACUUCGGGAAACCGGAGCUAAUACCGGAUACGUUCUUUUCUCGCAUGAGAGAAGAUGGAAAGACGGUUUCAGCUGUCACUUAUAGAUGGGCCCGCCGGCGCAUUAUCUAUUUGGUGAGGUAAUGGCUCACCAAGGCGACUAUGCGUACCCGACCUGAGAGGGUGAUCGGCCACACUGGGACUGAGACAGGGCCCAGACUCCUACGGGAGGCAGCAGUGGGAAAUCUUCCGCAGUGGACAAAUGUCUGACGG
rnacentral:rRNA from 2 species